GCGUCUGUAACUCAGUUAGGUAGAGUACCACCGUGACAUGGUGGAAGUCAGUGGUUCAAAUCCACUCAGACGCA
rnacentral:tRNA from 1 species